CUCUUCAUGAUGGUAUGCACUGAAAUUCGCAUUAGGUGAGACCCACAAGUUCAUUUGACAUUUGCCAUAAUCAUCCCUUAAAUGAAAAUGACUAAAAUGUCUUCAUUAAUUUGCAUCAUGGUCCAUGCUUUUCGUUUUAUAUGCUUCUGCAAGUAAAGGGCAUUUAUCUUUACAGGCCUCGCUCAACCAGGUCCAUAUGCAUAUGAUGGUGGAGCUCACUUAAUCGUGUGUUACACCGCUAUCCCCCAGGAUCCCAGCCAAGCAAAUUGGGCCCACCAAACAUUCAUGGCUCACUUAUUCUUAGGUAAGCUGGUGGUGUACCACUUCCAGGAUUGGCCUUCCCAACCUAAAACCUCUCAUUUGAUGAUCAAUUUGUUUGCUUUCAGGAAAGCAUAGUCCAGCCAAUAAUGUGCCUGUGUGCAUGGUUCACCUCAAACAAAUCCAGAAAUUUGCCAAGUCUUGUUUUACAUUAACCAGCAGUCACCCGUUGCCCUGAAACUAACUUCUUUAGUGACAAAUUUGAACCUGAAUACAAACAGGUUUGUAUGAUUAAAAGCUAGUGAGAAAGGCGAGUGAAAAAUAACAAACCAAAACUAAGAAAUCAAGUAGACAUAUAGCAGAAAUAUGAACUGCCAUGCCUACAUGCUUGAAACCAAGGCCAUAUCAACAGAUCAAGUAUGUGAGCUGGAACAUGAUUUGAGUGAUGAAAAACAAAUGAUUAUGGGUGUUAUUUAUUCUAAGAUAACAUUUGGGUCCUGCAUUUGUUCCUACUAGACAACAAUUUCCAGGUGUUAUUAGUAGUAAUCCCAAAUGUCAAGAAAACUAAACAAUUUUCACAUCAAUGGCAACCCCUUAGGGUCUGAAAAGCUUGGUCGGCGCAAUCAUUCAAGUGAACCAUUGAAUUCUGAAUUCCUUGCAUUGGAGUGAAUACAAGAGAGAGCAAUAUCAGUUUCAUCCUUAAUCAGGUUUUUUAAAUUAUUUAAUGAGAGCAAAAUUUGCAACUAAUAGAUUUUGGUAAUAUAAAUUCAUUAGUCAUAAUUGUAUUCUCCUGAAGAAGGGGAUACUCAAAAUAUUACCAAUAUGAUCAGGACACCAAAAGAUUAACUGGACUGGAAAUUGAGAACAAAGAAAAUGAAAAAGAAACAGGACUGAGGAAUAGAAUAGAAGCUUAAUACAAAUUCCCAAUGCAAUUUAGAAGAUUCUAUGAAAUAAUAAACUGUAAUUUUUUUUUCUGAAAUGACAUAUGCACUUGUUUGCCAUAUCAGAGUAAAGCAAACUACUACAAAGUAGCUAAUCUGUCAUCCGAAAAAUAAGAAGUAGAGGACAAACAAAUCUAAAUAUACAAACCUCUGCAAGAAUUUCUACUGAAAGAACUUCCAUUUCUUCUCACAAUCCUGAGACUGGUGCAAGCCUCGGAUGUUCACCUUACCAGCACAUCCCUGUAUCAGAUUCAUCUCAUGAAGCCAUUUGUAUGUAACUGAAAAAAAAAUUAAAAAAAAUGCUGUAUUAGAUUCAUGAAAACGACCCAAGGAGCACAACCAACGAGGCACCCUUUAUGAGAUUGUUAAAUUUUGAAUGGUAGCCUUUCAUUGUUAAAUUUGACUCCUAGUAUUUCAUGCAAGGAAAUGCAUUUGUUCCCAAAAAAAAUAACCCGGUCAACACAGGUUUAAGAUCAAAGUAUUGCUUUAAAUUUCAAUUGUUUAUGAUAAAUAAGAGUGUAGAAAUCAACAACCCAAAAUUUUUUCCAUAUUUUCCUUCUAAAAACAAACUUAAGAUUAAGAAGUUGGUGAUGCUUAUGUCUCACCCAUCAAAGGACCAAAGAAAAAAAAAAUCAACCUCUGGUUCUUGCAUCUCAAAACUAUGCAACUAAAAUAUAAUUGUGUGAAUAAAUAUAAUAGAACAAGGGCUCCCCCU
rnacentral:lncRNA from 1 species